rnacentral:tRNA from 1 species
AGCUAUAAAGUGAUUUAUUACGUAUAAUUUCGGUUUAUAUUUAUCUUUUAGAAGAUAUAGCUG